rnacentral:tRNA from 1 species
GUUGUAGCUUAGUGGUAGAGUGCUUGCCUCGCAUGCAUGAGGCCCUGGGUUCAAUCCUCAGAACAACA